AGAGUUGACGAAACUUGUAGUAAUCAGUGUAUAGUGCUGCCUGGCUGCGUUCGUGCUGCUUGGGUUUCCAAGGCGGACGUAGUCUUAGCUUGCUGGUACUUUGCACGCUUUUACUGCAGGUAGUGCCGAUUGCCUCGGUUGCUCCUUCUGAACCGUUGAGUUGAGGCCCACCUCGGUGGUUACCUGCUCGGCGGGGAGGUUGCGUAGUGGCUGGGGUUAAUGAGUCCGGCCUUUGCGAGGAAUGCUUGUGUCUGCAUUCGAGGAAUCUUCUGGCAGGUCCAGGGUGAACUUGGGUGUUUGGCAUGAUGUAUGCUUCGUUGGACUCGUUUUCGGCUUGAAAGUUGACCACCUAUCCGACCCGUCUUGAAACACGGACCAAGAAGUCUAGUAUGUGCGCGAGUCAGUGGGCGUUAACCCUAUUGGCGUAAUGAAAGUAAAGGGCGGCUUGCCGUCUGAUAUGUGAUCCGUGAUUCGUCGCGGUGCAACAUAGCCCCAUGCCGACUGCUUGCAGUGGUGUGGAGGUAGAGCGUACAUACUGGGACCCGAAAGAUGGUGAACUAUGCCUGAGCAGGACGAAGCCAGAGGAAACUCUGGUGGAGGUCCGAAGCGGUUCUGACGUGCAAAUCGAUCGUCUGACUUGGGUAUAGGGGCGAAAGACUAAUCGAACCAUCUAGUAGCUGGUUCCCUCCGAAGUUUCCCCCAGGAUAGCUGGAGUGCAAUGCUGUUAUAUCCGGUAAAGCGAAUGAUUAGAGGCCUUGGGGACGAAAUGUCCUCAACCUAUUCUCAAACUUUCAAUGGGUACGAUGUUGCGGUUGCUUAAUUGAACCGUGACUGGGAAAGCGCGCUCCAAGUGGGCCAUUUUUGGUAAGCAGAACUGGCGAUGCGGGAUGAACCGAACGUUGAGUUAAGGUGCCUAACUCUCUGCUCAUGAGACCCCAUAA
rnacentral:rRNA from 1 species